CAUGUAGGCGGCUUAAUAAGUCGAGCGUGAAAAUGCGGGGCCCAACCCCGUAUGGCGCUGGAAACUGUUAGGCUUGAGUGCAGGAGAGGAAAGGGGAAUUCCCAGUGUAGCGGUGAAAUAGCGUAGAUAUUGGGAGGAACACCAGUGGCGAAGGCGCCUUUCUGGACUGUGUCUGACGCUGAGAUGCGAAAGCCAGGGUAGCAACG
rnacentral:rRNA from 1 species